CCCUUGAAGACCCCCUGUCCUA
rnacentral:miRNA from 1 species